GUCAGACACGAGCACACCCUUCUGUAAUUCAAAAUCAGUAUACCCUCUAUGCACACUUUCGAUGGGCAUUAAAACCGGCAGCAUUAACAACAAAAACCACCGUGAUUCAAGGGAAAAACACCGUCAGAAUUGAGUUCAGAACUAGUGCGAAGUAUAAAUUUGAGUUUACUUUCGACCCAAAACAGGCUACAUUUGCCUUUAGUUGACUUUACCGACUGCGUGAUGUUCGCUCGCUGGCUGCUGAGAUUUAUAUGAGUUGAAUUACGUCUAACCGAGAGACUAUUUUAAAUUAAUAAUGCUACUGAGGCAUAAGGUCGGAGCGCGAAAAGCAAAUACAAACAAUUUAUAAAAAAUACCAAAAUAAUUAGCAACUUUUAGAUGGAAUAGAAGCAGCAUGAAAUUUCAACUACACUGAGCAAAAUUAUUACCAAAAUAAAUUAAGAAAAUAUUUCUUUCUCUCUCACUUCCA